rnacentral:lncRNA from 1 species
AUCCUUUCAACCUUCACGAGAACUGAGAGACACAACGAUCAGCCAUGGCGGAAGCGAAAGCCCUGAAUAUGGCUUCCAAAACUCAAUUUCUACUGCUGCUAGUGGCUGUGAUGAUUACAAGCUACAAUGCUGUUGGUGGCAUCGACACGGCUACAUACGAACCACUCAACUGCACAACCAAAUGCAUAACCAAUGGAACAUUCAACUGCACAAACAACUGCACAGCAAAUGGAACAUUCAACUGCACAAACAACUGCACAGACAAUGGAAUAGCCGCCUGCUUAGCCAACUGCAUGGUCAAUGUAACAGUCAACUGCACAAACAACUGCACAGCCAAUGGAACAAUCACCUGCACAGUCAAUGGCUUAAAUUUAAUAUACAACUGCACUCCUGGCAUCAACAACAUGACCAGCAGCAACAUCACCAUCAACAGCACAACCAACAACGGCACAACCAACAACAGCACAACCAACAACAGCACAACCAACAACAGCACAACCAACAACAGCACAAGCUGGACAACUCCGAGCUCAAACCAUGGCAACUCUAUUGCUCCUUCCUUUUCACUUGUGGGAAUCAUGGGUCUGUCUGGACUACUACUUUUCUAUGCAACCGACAUAAAUGAUAUUUUCACUAAUCUACACAUGCUAGUGGCUAGGGACAAGUAUUCGUAUGUAAUUAUUAAAUGAGGCAUGCAUGACUCCUAUGAAAUGAACCGCAUAUUACCAUUUAUUGACAUUCUACAGUGACUCAUGAAAGAAACUCACUGCUGCUAUGUUGUCGCUUGCGGUGAUCAUGGGACUGUCUGGACUACUUUUCUGCUCAAUUUGACAUUGGUGAUAUUAUUACUAAUCUACAGAUGUUAAUGGUUAAAAACUGGUAUUUUUAUGUAAUUAAUAAAUGAGGCAUGUAUGGGCCAUCUUAAAUGACCUUCA